AUGCCCAACCUCUACGCCUUAGUGAGAAGAUCUGCCCGGCUGAAAACUAUUCGACAGGCCAUGCUUGAGGGCUGGUGGCACGAUAUUUCAUCGGACAUGUCAGCGCAAGCGUUGCUCGAGUUCAUUGCGCUUGUCGACAGGACGCAAGAUGUGAAACAAUUAAGGAAGGAGACCUGGACGGUGGUGACACUCGUGGCUUGGACGCUAUGGAGGCACAGGAACGACAUCGUGUUCAAUGGUGCCUUGCCAUCGGCGGACACCGUGCUUAGGAAGAUUCAGCUUGAAGGUCAGGAUUGGAGGGCUGCCGGCUUGCUUCGGGAGCUGGCAUCUCUCCCUUAUUCGGUAGAUAGGUCGACCGAGCCAGUGCUGGUUAACAAGGGACAAGAUGGAUCGCCACUUGUACUACUGCAUGCAUGCAGUAUAGAAAAAAGAAGAUCUGAAUCACAUCAUGUUGCGAGGAAGGUUUCCUGGUCAGAAGAAGGCGAGGUCACCGGCGGGUCCAUCCACAACCCCAUGAACACCAACGCCAGCGGCUACUUCAACACCGUCAACAACAGUCCCUCCGCUGUUUUUCAAGCAUUUCUGGAAAAUUGUGAUCAAGCGUCAGGGAAGCUCCCGGGCGCCCACACGCCGGCGCUGGUGGGCCGGCCCAUUGGAGAAGAUGAAUCUUCACCACUUCCUCGCCGGCCCUUUCCCUUUCUGGUCGACGGCGCUGCUGUCGGCGUUGGCGACUGGUGGAGGAUCGUCCGAGUUGUCGGACGAGGCGCCAUGGUCAUCGACAUCGGAGGAUUCAAAGUCGGAGAGGACAAUCAGUCGACGAGGCGCCGUGGUCAUCGACCGGCGGUAGAGCCAAGCGAGGAGCCGCUCGUCCUCAUUAGGCUUCGCCGGCAACCCUCGGUAGAGGCGCACAGACUCUCCGUCGUGUCCGUCUCACAUGCCCGCUGCAUCUCACGGCGGGCGUCACGCGCCUCCGGUUCUAGCGUGCGAGUCCGGGCCGACACUGCGGGCACUAGCACCCACCACUGCCCGCGUGGAGCAGCGGCCGACGUGUCUGAGGCGUGGACUGCGCAGCCGUCGCGGAGCUGCGCGCAGACCGGGAGUGGCCAGUGCCGGCGUCCUUGCUUCGCCGACAGGGAAGACGCAAUGGAACAGUCCGGAUCUGCACCCGUAUCCACCUUGGACCUCUUGAGGGCAACGCGGAGGACCAGCUCCUCGCCGGUGUCGAAUUGGGAGUCGGAGCGGCUGCCAGAGCUCGACAUGGUUUCUCGGUCAGAAGAAGGCGAGGUCACCGGCGGGUCCGCCCACAACCCUAAGAACACCAACGCCGGUGACUACCUCAAGACCGUCAUCAACAACAGUGGCUCCGCUGGUGGCCUCAACAGCGUCACCAAGUGUGGCUACACCUGCGGCCUCAAGAUCAUCAGUAAGGAUGGCUUCCUCCACCGCAUCAAGAACGUCAGCAAUGGCAGUUCAGCCCGCGGGCUCAAGAAUAUCAGCAACGUCGGCUCAACCCGCUACCCCAAGAACGACAACAACAACAAAUCUGCACGUGACCUCAAGAACGUCAACAGCGGCAAAUCGGUACGCGACCUCAACGACAACAACAUCAAAUACACAUGCGACCUCAAGAACGUCAACAAGGGCAAAUAUAUAUCCGACUUCAAGAACGUCAGCGGCAUCAGCGAUGGUGGCUCCUUCUACGACCUCAAGGAUGUCAACAAGAGCCACUCCAUCCGCAAGCAUAAGAACGUCAACAGGAGCAACGGUGGCAUCAAACCGGUCGACGAGACUGCAGCCAGGUGCGUCAACCUCAAGAACGCGAGGGUGACCGAGGGUAACAAGCCGACAGGACAGGCCCAGCCAGAAGAGGUGAUCAGGGAUCGACCGCGUCCGCGCUGGUCGCCGGAGGCGAGGAAGACUGGUGGCGCCGGAGGAGGUGCUGGUGGCUCCAUCGGGUAUGCCUCCUCGCGCCUGGAAUCGAGGCAACCCGUCCUCUUCCCGGAGAUAGCCGGCGGCGGAAGUUCGGGAGGUGUGCAAGAUUCGAGGCUGCACUCCUCCAAGGUCCUACGGGAGGUCUCCGUCUACAACGGCAAGUCCUACUCGGCCGCCGCCGGCGUGUGUUCGACACAGUGGUGUUCUAGCGCACGAACGCCCGCCACUCGAAUGACACUUUUCUUGAGCACCAACGCCGGCCACCACUGUUACAACGCACAUGGGAGGGUUCUUAUACCCAGGGUCAUGCCACGGCACGCACCCCACGUUUCAGCCCCAGUCGGAGGGCUGGGUCCAGCCCGCUCCGGCCACACCCGCGACAUGCACGCACACGUCCGGGUCGUGGCGAGCCCGCAACAGACCAGCUCAACGCGCCCCUCACUCGCCAACAGACCAGCCUUACCACACGGACACCCCCGUGCUACACACGCACUCACGCACACACUCCACGGACCUGACGCGGCCGCCGUGGCUUAUUACCUAACAGUAGUGCCCACGGGUAGGCGCACUCCGCCGCUCAAGGCCCUGCCCCCCAUCACGCGCCACGGCCGACGCCCUUCUCCGUUCAAAGACACGGCAUGGUGGCCGCAGGCGAGCUUGCUUCGCACAUCCGCAUUUACUGCAAGUUUCCUCGACCCAAACGAAGCAAAGCAAACACCAGAAGAAGCCAAGAAGAAGUGGAGGAAAAAGAAGAGAGAAGCAGAUCGCAUCAUGCCACCUGCAGGGGAUCUCUCUAAGAAGGUGAAUGCAUCGUCAAGCCGUACGCCGUUGAAAAAGCCAACGUCGUUCAAGAAGAAGCCAGCGCCGCCUAAGAAGAAGCCAGUGUUUCUGCCUACGAAGAAGCUUGAGAAAAAGACUUCUUAUGACAGGAAGAAAGGCAGCCCAUCCGUUUACCUUCGUGACCUAGUCUACAUGGAGUUCACGUGGCAGGCGGGCUGUGAGGUUGAGCUGAUCGUGAACAUCACCGCCUUGCAGGUCAAGACGGAGAGGAGGACAGGGGGGAAGAAGAUGAAGAAGCCAGCUUCCUCAAUACAGCCGGAGCAAAGUAAACACCACAUCCAUCUCACCUCAUCUCAAAGAAGAAAAGGAAGCAAAUCAAAAUCGCAUGAUGUUGCCAGGAAGGUUUCUCGGUCAGAAGAAGGCGAGGUCACCGGCGGGUUCGCCCAUAACCCCAAGAAUACCAACACCGGCGGCUACCUCAAGACCGUCAACAGCAGUGGCUCCACUGGUGACCUCAACAACGUCACCAAGGGUGGCUACACCUGCGGCCUCAAGAUCGUCAGCAAGGGUGGCUUUCUCCACUGCAUCAAGAACGUCAGCAAUGGAAGUUCUGCCUGCGGGUCGAGAAUAUCAGCAACGUCAGCUCAACGCACUACCUCGAGAACAUCAACAACGGCAAAUCUGCACGUGGCCUCAAGAACUUCAACAACUGCAAAUCUGUAUGCAACCUUGAGAACAUCAACAAUGGCAAAUCCGUCCGCAACCUCAAGAACAUCAACAACAGCAAAUCCAUACGCGACCUCAAGAAUGCUAGCAAGAGCCGCUCCGUCCACGACCUUCAGAACGUCAACUAGAGCAACGGUGGCCUCAAACCGGCCGGCGAUGAUGCGGUCAGUUUUCCUGCGAUAUUCGUUAGCAGUGAUCUAUGACUGGAGAAGUCCGGUGGUGGAGUUCAGAGUUGUCUCACUUGCAUAUCAGCAACCAAUUACAGCUAGUAUUAUCCCCAUGGAAAAUAAGCGGAACGGCUCAAGCUACCACUGGAGGAGAAGAAUUAUUAGAAAAGAAGCAGAUCUUGUCAUGGGUGAGCAAGCUGCAAAGGUUCCCCCAAAGAAGGUGAAGGCAUCGUCAAGCAAUACGCAGUUGACGAAGACAGCAGCCUUUAGGAGGAAGGCGCUCCUGCCUCAGAAGAAGCAGAUGAAGCAGACGACGCCGUCUAAGAAGAACUAG
rnacentral:rRNA from 1 species